GGAAGUCGUUGGGCGCCGGCCGUCACCAUUGUUGGUGUCCAAAAUUCUUCCUCCUCCAUUUGCAAUUUUGCAGUGGCAGCUGCCGGUGCAGGAGGAGAUGGGGAAGACGAAGCCGCGCGCCAUGAGGGCGGUGGAGGAGGUGGACAUCUCGGCGGUGAGGUACGAGUCGCCGUCUCUGCAGGCGCCGCACCUGAGCGGCUUCUCCCUGAGGGCCUUCGUGUGGCUCAUGGAGUCGCCCAUCUUGGGCCGCCUCCUCACCUCCAUCCUCAAGUCGCAGAACAACAUCACGCGGAUGCUGCAGGAUACGGUGAUCCCCGAGCGCCCCAUGUACCGCCCGGAGUACCCGCCGCAGGAGGCGGAGCAUGGCGUCGUUGUUCUCGGGGAUGACACAGACCCUGUGGUGAGAGUUGAGCGAGCGCUUCAGCUCCUCCCUCCCCACACCUUCAACCCCUCUCCUCUGCCUUUCCUCUACUGGAGGAUUCGUGAUUUUGCACACGCUUACCGCUCCGGGAUUACAACCCCGUCCCUUGUUGCCGACCAUAUCAUCGCCGCCGUGGAGGAGUGGAGCAACAGGAAGCCUCCCAUGCCUAUGUUGAUUUAUUUUGAUGCGGAUGAUCUCAGGAAACAGGCUGAAGCUUCCACCAAGAGAUUUCACCAAGGAAACCCGAUUUCCAUCUUGGACGGCAUCUUUAUCGCCAUCAAGGAUGACAUUGACUGCUUCCCAUAUCCAUCAAAGGGUGCUACUACAUUUUUCGACAAAAUCCGCUCCGUGGAAAAAGACGCAGUCUGUGUUGCCCGUUUGCGGAAAUGUGGAGUGCUAUUUAUCGGGAAAGCAAAUAUGCAUGAGCUAGGACUUGGAGUAACUGGAAACAAUCCAAACUAUGGAACAGCAAGAAAUCCACAUUCAAUUGAUAGAUAUACUGGUGGUUCUUCAUCUGGACCAGCUGCACUAGUCUCAUCAGGGUUAUGCUCAGCAGCAAUUGGAACAGAUGGUGGAGGUUCUGUUAGAAUUCCAUCUGCACUUUGUGGCAUUGUUGGUUUGAAGACAACCUAUGGACGAACAGAUAUGACUGGGGCACUUUGUGAUUGUGGGACCGUUGAAGUCGCCUCUCCUCUAGCUUCUUCAGUGGAGGAUGCAAUGCUAGUGUAUUCUGCAAUAGCAGGCUCUAGACCUAUGGAUAAACUUACCCUGAGACCAUCACCACUCUGUGUCCCUAAUUUGGUGUCUCCUGACAACAACAGUAUAUUGGGAUCUGUGAAAAUAGGAAAAUAUACAGAGUGGUUUCAUGAUGUUUCUGAUCCUGAUAUCUCUAAUACAUGUGAGGAUGCACUUAAUCUUCUUUGCAGCAACUUUGGAUGUCAAAUAGAAGAAAUAAUACUACCAGAGCUUGAGGAGAUGCGUACUGCCCAUGUUGUCUCAAUUGGCACAGAAUCAUUCUGCGACCUGAAUCCUCACUACAGAGCAGGAAAACGAACUGAAUUUACGCUAGAUACUCGAACAAGUUUGGCACUUUUUGGAUCAUUCACUUCAACUGACUAUGUUGCUUCUCAACGAAUAAGGAGAAGGAUAAUGUACUAUCACAAUGAAGCUUUCAAGAAGGUUGAUGUCAUAGCGACCCCUACAACUGGCAUUACUGCUCCUAAAAUACCGCAAAGUUCUCUAAAGUUAGGAGAGUCUGAUUAUGUUGUGUCAGCUUACCUGAUGCGAUUUGUGAUAGCUGGCAAUCUUCUUGGUUUGCCAGCCAUAACUGUACCUGUUGGUCAUGACAAGCAAGGGCUUCCUAUCGGCUUGCAACUGAUAGGUCGUCCAUGGGGCGAGGCUAGCUUAUUAAGGGUGGCUUCUGCAUUGGAGGAGUUGUGUCUGAACAAGCGGAAACGGCCGUCUGCAUUUCAUGACAUCCUCAAGGUCUGAAUGCCGAAUUACAUAUGUAUCCAUCAAUAAUUUAUGGGCUGUCUCGAGAAACUUGGGGUGACGCACAUUUGCAUGGGCAGUCGUUAGCGUUGUGUUGUUGGGUCUGCGUUUACCAAGUUGAAAGAAACGGACUGUUGAGAAUUUACAUUGACUAGUUAUGUACCGUGUGUUGCUACGGAACUACCUCCGACAAGGAAACAUGUCUUCCUGAAAUUCUUUCA